GGAUAAACGGAGCGUAAGCGCAGAUGUUACUACAGAUUUGACGACCAGUGAAGUCAAUCCAGAAGGAAAUAGAUCAAAGCGCAAAAUUAGUAAUGUGGAAAAGGAAAGGCAAAGAUUGGAGAAGGUUAAAAAAAAGGGAAAGACAAAUGUGU